rnacentral:lncRNA from 1 species
GUAAGUGUUCUUAGGGUAUUUGCAAUGUGGAGCAACCAUCACCACUGUCUGUCCCCCGCACUUCCGUGGCCCCACAAGGAAGCCGCAUCCGGCUCCCAGAAGGCACCACCCUCUGUCUUUGUGACCUGCGCUGUGGACCCCAUGCGGUGUUCGCCCUCGGCAGCAGCACCCCUGGGCCGCAGUGGCUGUAUGGACUCGGAGUGUGUGGUCCUGUCUUGCUGACCUUCCCCCUGUUCGGGGGAGCGGGUCGGGCUGUGUGUGGGGUGAUGCGGUGGCCGUGGCCCCCUAGUCCAGGUUGGGUCUCAGACCGCUGGCCCUGGGCGUGCAGGCAUCCUCUGGAAGCUUGGCGCUGGGCUCCACAAGAGGGCGCUGUCUGAAAGUCUUCCGUGCGCUGGGAGUGACGCAGCCGUUCAGGAGGGUUUGGGGCGCGUGCUCCUGUCUUCCCAAACAUCUAGAGCUCAAGGAGUGCAGAAAAUUCUGACCUCCCUACCCACCCGACCACCCAACCACCCAGCCACCCAGCACCCACCCACCUCCUCCCACUGUCCUCACCAUUUAGCGGGCAGGGACCAAGUAGCCCAGCCCUGUCCACGAUUCCUCUGUGAUCAUGGAAAGCCACAUGUGGUCACUGAGGGAAACUGAGGCUCAGGGAGGUUAAGGAACUUGCCCAGGGUCAUGGGGCUCACAUACAGCUGAGGCAGCAUUCGAACCCAGGCCUUGUGGUGCAGGGCCCAGGCUUUACAUGCGCCACGGUCUCAGGUCAGGUCCGGGUGGGUGAGGGACAUUCAGCGGCCAGCAGGGAAGGAGAAGGCUCCUUGUCCCCCUGGACUGGCCCCUGUGGUGUCCGAGCUCCUCAGCGCUUCCAGGCUGGGGCUGAGAGCCUGUUAUUGUGCUUUUGGCAUGGUGGGCACCAGCCUGGCCAUUGCAUAGGCAGCACACAGGGCACCAGGUCACCGGCCCGUGCCCCUCCUCAGGCUGAGAGGGACAGAAGGGCACAUCCGGGUGGGGAUCACCUGGCCGCAUUCUUCGUGCUUCCCCAGUCUCUGCUUCUAUAGGCUGAUCUGAUGGAGGAGGCCUUGACCCAGCCUCUGAGCCACACCCCAGGAGACUGGCUUCUCCUGGCCCCACCCAGCUGCCACCCAGCUGCUUCCUUGGGCAGCGAAGGGCCACUCCACCUUCUCUCUCCAUCCCAGGGGCGGAGGAUGUCAUCUGCAGUCUCGGCCCUCUGGAUCAAAACACGAUGCUUGCCCUUCCCAGGAUGGGGAACAGCGCCUGCACUGCUGCGGUGCUGUGUCCCCACCACACCUGUGGUGUCGCAUUUAUGACACAAGUGUUUCCCUCUCGCACCCCUGAGAAAGGUCACUGGCUUUUAGCCCCCAGUGAGUGUCUUUCCAUGUCAGAAGCAGACACUCAGCAGCCCCAGUGCAACCCAGAGCAGAGAGCCCUUCCUGCUCGGGUUCCCUGGGCCUCCUGAGCCGAGGGCCUGGCCCAGAGAUGCCUGGGCCCUGCCGGGCUGUCCUGGCACCAGUGCAAUUGUAGGAGCAGGUUUAUGUGUCGCUUGCGUCAAGGGCUCCUUCCUUGCAGGGAGGCCCAGCCCUAACUGGAGAGUGGAAGUUGGGGUCCUGCUCUCUUCCUGGGAGGUGAUCUCUGGCCUGGCUCUUGGGCGCAGCAGCUCCCUAGGGGCCCACCCGCCCGUGUCACUCACCAAGGUCCAGCGCUGUGGCAGUGGGGAGCUGCACCGUGAAUGGCCAUGAUGUCACUUGGGACCUGCCCAGUUGGCCAAAUCCCACCUGGUUGUGCUGCCCUCCACUGCCCUUGGCCUCUGUUUGCUGAACCCCUCUCAGCACCCGCUUUGGAGAGGAGGUGCUUGUUCCUCAGCUGCAAUUGCUGCCGAGUGGAGUGGGGUGCUGUCUCUUCUCAGUGUCCACAGGAGGAAGAGACGGCAGGGGGAGCUUGAUGGCCAUGUGCAUUGUCAGUGUGGCUGGAGCAGGCAGGAAAGUCUGGAGGGGUCCUGGAAGGGAUGAGGGGACCCCUUAGGGCACCCUGCCUCUGCUCUGCCCAGCUGGGCUGGCAGCUCCGGGCCAGUGGGGUGGGGAGGCUUCUGCUGGUUGCAUUGUGGCUAUCCUAGCCUGGUCCUGCCAGCCUGGGAGCCCUUGUGCAUGAGUGAUGGGAGCGGGCGUGUCCAUGCUGUGCUCCAUAGGGGUAUCGGACGCUGUGGCUGUCUGGGAAGUGGGCUGUUUGAGGCUACUUAUCCAUAAAUUGCCACUGGGUCAGGACUCUUGGUCGUAAAGAACAGGAAAGCUAAUUCAUGUUGACUUAAGCUAGGAGGGAAUUUGUUAAUUUACAUAAUGGAAAAGUCUAGGGCCCUGAUGGCUUCAGGGGCAGCUUGAGCCAGGGAUGCAGACAGUGUUGGCAGGACCCAGCUUCUCCUCACAUCAUGCCUCUGCGGCCCUCUAUACCACUGGCAGGCAGGUAGUUUUGAAAAAUAGCUGUGAGGAUCUCUGGGUUUGCACCAAAGUAGUGCCAAUUCAGUAGAAAAAAGAGACACUCUUUCCCAUUGUUUCCCACCACUAAGAAGGGAUCUGGAGUUGGCUGAUUGGCCUUGUUGGGGCCACCAGCACUGUGGCUGAGGGGAGGUGCUGCUCUCAGGCACCUUGCAGCCCUGCUGCUGUGGGACAGUCGUCCCGAGCUUAGUGACUUAGAGGGUCCUCUGGUUUCUUUAGCUGGGGAGUCUGCAGUGUGGGCGGUGCCCAGCUGAGAAGUCCCCUCUGCCCCAUGUGGCAUCAGCUGAGCCAGCCCAGGCUGGGGCUGAUGAUUCCGUCAAGAUGGUGAAGUGGGAUAGCUGUCAGGCCAGGCCUGGCGCUGUGUCUGUGGCCUUCCCUGCAGGCUGGGUGUCCCUGGGCACGGCCGUGAGUGUCCCAGGAGACCGGCAGUGGCAGGCUGACCUGCAUCUCUUCUGCUGUGGUCUACGGGCCAAGCCACUCCAGAACCCAGGCACCAGGGAAGGGGAUGCAGGCCCUCUCUAGAUAGCGGACCAGAUUGGGCUCUCCGUGAGGCAGAGGUGGCCCUCCGUCCUCAGGGUGAGGCCCGAGAAUGGCGGUGGGGUCUCCUCUUGGCAGAGGCCAAUUUCAGACUCAGGAGAAAAAGCCUCGGGAGGCAGAGGUGCUGCACAGUCUCCAGCUCCACUCUUACGGCCUCGUGAGCGUCCUGGUGCCCAGCACCUGGGGUUGACUCUGAGAGGUGAGGACACUGCAGGACCUCACAGAGAAGCCCAGGGGCUCCCCCCUGGGCAGCACCCUGUUCUGGGGACUUGGAUGUCCAGGCUUCACGCACCUUGACCCGCCCGGCCUGGACCUGCCACAGGAGGAGCCGUGGACGUGGCCCUGCGUGGAUGUGGCUCAGACUCCUCCAGCAUGGUCUCCACGCGCCUGUGUGUGCAGCCCCGCACCCCUGAAGGGACAGAUGGGGCACAGGACUGCAGCCUCUCAGAAGUGUGGGGAGUGCAUUGGUCAGGGCAUGGGGGAGGUUGUGGGCAGGCCUCCUGGUGGCCGGGAUGAGCAAAGAGCGGGGAGCAGCACCUGAGGGGUGGGGUGUGGGGCUACAGGAUCUUUUUGGGGCUAACAGUGGUUUGUUUGCUUAUUUAUUGAUUUGUUUCUGCAGUGCUGGGGAUGAGCCCAGAGCCUUACACUGAGCUACAUCACCAGCCCUUUCAUUUUUUUUUCUGAGACAGAGUCUUGCUGACUUGCCCAGGUGGGAUUCGAACUUGUGAUCCUCCUACCUUAGCCUCCCAGAGUGCUGGGAUCACAGCUGUGCUCCACAAGCCCAUCUGACUGUGUUUAAAAUGCCUGGCGAUUUGGAGCAGGAGGAGGUCCUGAGCUUUCCUCUGAAUUGAUUCUCAGGACUACCGAGCACCUCACAAGAGGACCCCCUCUCUCCGGGGAGAGCCCCGCCCCUGUGCUUUGCUUGGGGACCCUCAGGUCCCUUCCUGUUGGAAGUGGUUCCCAUAUUUGACAGGCUUCUGGACAGAGGCAUGGCUGGAGCUCUUGGGUGUGGGGUGACCUGCUUUCCUUCUGGGGAUUGGCUGGCUCAUUUGUCCUGGGAACAGCAGGGCCACCCGCCCCAGGCCCGCCUGUGGUGCUGGCCGAGCAGCUGUGUGCUCUCACCAGUGCCAGACAUGGGAUCAGAGAGGUCACUGGUAGCUGCACAGUGGAAGGCAGCAAAACGCUUCCCAGCCAAGGGACAGAGCAGUCUGCAUGUGGAGCCAGCAGGCGAGUGGAGGGUCACUCAGCAGCUCUGGGCCUGCUGGGCCCUUGGGGUCACCCACACAGUUCCAGAUGUGCUGCUGACUUCUGGCUGCAGCAGGUGGACAGUGUCCAGGGUCUGAGAAACACAUGCUAGAGGACUCCAUUGCACCAGCAGCUUCCUGUAAGCGACAGGUGUUUCCUUCCCCGCAGAACUCAGCCACUGUCCCUUCCCUCAGAGGCCCUUCCUUCAGCCUUCAGAGGUUAGGACUGGAUGUCUUCCGGAGGUUGUUACCCUGCAGCCCACACUCCCUGAGGAGCCUGCCAAAGAGCCUGAUGGCACAGUCACCUACGUGACCCUUCUGGAAGGUCCUGAAGCUGUGAGGCAGUGCCGAGCCCGGGGCUGCCCCUUGUCAGGAGGCCAGGACAGUCAGACACUGGGCCUCUGUUACCGCAGAGGACAGGCCAUGAAGGCCAGACCUCGGAGGACCCGGCUGCUGACGCUUGGUGACCACAGCUGUCUCUGCCACAUGCACCUUGCCGCCUGAACUCGAUGCAGUCCAGACGGGAGCUGUUUCCCUGUGCCUGCUUUCAAGUCAGGAGAGUGAGCGGGGUGUGGGGGUGCACCCCUGUGGUGCCAGCACCCUGGGGGGCUGAGGCAGGAAGGAUCACAAGUUCUAGCCUGGCCUGACCAGUUUAGAGACUUAGUGAGACCCUGUCUCAGAAAAUAAAAAUGGAGCUCAUUGUGAAGGCCCUGGGUUCAAUGUCCAGGACCACAGGGAAAAAAGAGGGGGAGAGGGGAGGGAGGAGGAGAGAAAAGCUCCCCGAGAGCUCCAGCGCUUGUUUCCUGCCACGUAGCUCCUCAGAACCAGAGCUGGGGGCCCAGCCCACGUCUGAAUGGGAGGCUGGCUGUACCCGCAGGCAGCACUACCUCACACCUGUCGUACCUGGGCAGCCCUGGAGGGAGGCUUUGCCCAGAGAGGUUUAGCCACUUCUCUGGUCCCAGAUGCCUCAUGUGGCCUCCGAGGCCCCAAUCCCAAGAAGUCCUGUCAGGAGCUUUGCUGCCCGUGAUGGCUCAGGUCCCACACUGCAUCUGGUAGCUCCAUCCUGAUGGUGGUUCAUGGGCUCCCAGGCCCUCCCCUCUGGGUCUGCCAGACUCGGCUGUGCUCGGUGGGCUCUGUCUGCUGAGACCCCGUCUCCACCCCUGGACAAACUCACCCAGUGGGCCUUGUGUGCCCCUGCUUGGCAUGGUGAGGGAGGGAGUGACUUCCGGAGCCCGGCUCUCCCCAUGCGCGGCUGGGGUCCCAGCGGCUCCUGUGCCCUCGGGGCUCAGUCUGUGUCCUGAGGGACAGGGGUGUGUGUGGGGGCCUGUGUGGCCUGCACCUGACCCGCCUGCUGCCCCAGCCCUGCCCUGUGCCCACUGCAGGCCCUGUCUGCUUCCCAGGACUCUUGGCUGACCCGCAUUGCCCCAAGGUGGCCUCAGUGCCAGGGCUGGGGCAGGGAGUGCCCAGGAUGGCUCUGUGAUCAGCUGGUGAUGUCUGCCGCAGGCCCGGGCUGGGCUUGUGUGCGAGCCUUGUGGGUCUUCAUCGCUCCCCAGUGACUCCCCGGUGUUUGGCACAGGGUGGCGUGGGUAUCCACUGUUUCCUCUGAGGGGUGUCACGCUGGGGGGUUGGAGAGCCCACCAGAGGGACGGGAAACUUCCUGUCCUCUCUCUUGCUGUUUCCAAGGGAGACCGCCCACUGAGGGCACCGUUUUCAUGUUAACACAACAGACCAGGCCGAACCGGAGCAGGGAAGGUGCUGGCACCCGGAGGAGGCCAAGCCUGGCAUUCCACCUCGGGGAGCAUUCUGUUGCCUCAGCACCUGCCAAGCAAGUGUGUCCUUUCCAGACAUCCCACACUCGGGGAGAUCCCAGCAUGCCAGCCCCACCAACCCUGCCCACUGCUCCCCCAGGUUCCACUUUACUCAUCCAACAGAUUUGUGAAUCCGACCUUUUUAAAAAGGGAAAGAUUUAAAAACUGUGUGCACAGCGCGUCCGCUCUCUUCUGUGUGCCCUGCUCCUGUACGUGCAUAGUUGCCUGGGGGCUUGGGCCACAGCCUGGGGCACAGUGUCCUUCGGAGCUGCUUUCUGGGCAGGGCGCUGUGCCUGGGUAUCAGGCCAGGGCUCCUGGUGCUGCCACAUCGGCAUUUCAAAUGCUGAGACUGGCUGGUGGCCCUGGAGGGUCAGCCCCACCCAAAGGCUCAAAGCGUCCACUGUGCCUUGGUCCAUUAUCUCACAGGCUGUGAAAUAGGCUGACAGAGAUUUUGAAUUAUGAACGUCCAUACAGGGACUUCAUUUACUUCUUUUUUCUUUUGGUACUGGGGACCGAACUCGGGACCUUGCACUUACAAGGGAGGCAGCGGAACCACUGAGCUAAAUCCCUGGUCCGUUUUUUUUUUUUUUUUUUUUGGUACCUCGUUUACUUCUCAUAGCAACCCUGAGGUUAUUGUCUUGCAGCUUUUCAGAGUAGGUCUGCCAUGGCUUCGCAGCACCACAUGGUCCUGCAUGGGGUUCCAAGGCCACAGGGGCCAAUGGGGCUGCGGUAGCAGGGAUCUGUUCUGAGACCCUGAUUCUCUGUGAACAGUUUUUUUUUUUUGGUACUGGGGAUCGAACUCGGGACCUUGCACUUUUGAGGCAGGGGCCAAAACCACUGAGCUAAAUCCCCGGCACCGUGAACAGUUUUUUUUUAAUGUCAAUUGUAUUUUCUCCUGUAUUUUUGUGGACUCCUAUCAGUCUUAGGUUAUUCUUCUUUGCAUCACCUAGCAGCUGCUGGACUGAUUUCUCAUGGUCCCUUACUAUCUUUAAGAAAUCUCUGUUUUCAUGGUCCUUAACCGCAAUCCUGUCUUCUAUAUCUGAUAUUCUAUCUUCAGAUUCCCUUAAUCUGCUAUGCAUGCUUUCAAUGGAGUUUUUAAUCUCCUGAAUAUCUGUUUGAAUCUAUUUCAUGGAUUCCAUUUCUUUCUUAUGUUGGGCGAUCAUGGUUUAUAUUUCUUUCUUAUGCUGGGCAUUCAUGGCUUUCAGCAUAUUUUUGAGCUCAUCUAUUUUUUUAUCUGUUUCUGUUUUAGAGCCUCUAAUUAUGUCUUUCACUCUGCUCACCAUGUCUGUAGUUAUCUGGGAGAUUAUGUCUGCUUUGAAUUUUUCUAGAGUCUCAUUCAUCUGUUUUGUUACUUCCUGUGCUAUCAGUUCAGCCUGUCCAGGUGGUUGAUUAUCGGACUUUUCCACCCCAUUUCCCCAAAAAUUGCCUUUUGUAGGGUGGAAGCCUGGGUUUGUGACUUGCUUAAAUGUCUUUUUCAUUUUUGUUUCUGGUACUGUCACUUAUAAGCCAAUGAGUCCCAGUAAGCCAGUCACAGACCCCUGAGAUUCAGACAGACUUCUGGCUGCAAGUCCCAAAUUGAGCUCCCCGCCCUCCCACAGGGCUGAACUCUGCAAGGCUCUACUACAGGUUCCAGCUGCCCUUCCCCUGAAGAUAGUCCAGGAUCAAGUGGGAGGUGAUGAUCCCUCCAACUUACCAAGCACGGUGGUCUGGUGUGCCUUUAUUGCAGAGAUUCUUUUCACUUUUCCAGUGGGAUUCAGUUUUCAUCAGGGAGCCUGAGAGAGGCCUCUCUCUGCUGUUCACCUCUGCAACUCAGGACAAUGGCCUUUAUGUCCCCCUGUGCCUCUGUAAUGUGGAACUGGGUAGCUGCACAGCCAAGAGGCCAGAGGCAGCGGUGGUGGUGGGGCUGGCUGUUGUUACAGGUGCCUGUGGGGCCAAGCCAGUGGCCGGUGGGCCUGCGGGGUGGGGUGGGGGUGUCCUCACCGUUUCCUGGAUGCAAGUGGGCUGACGCUGAUUCUCUUUAAUGCUGCACCGGCAUCUCUCCUGCUGGAAGUUUUUGGGAACAAGUCUUUACCUACCUGUUCUUGUUGGAUCACGGGUCAUGGCAGCCUCUGGAUGUGUGUCUCCUACUGGGGCAGUCCCCACUGUCUGCAUGUGUAAAGGAAGGUGCACACAUGCAGGGUGCCAGGUGUGGGAGUGAGUCAGCCACCCAAGCGCUGGCUCAUCUGCCUCCCGGCCCUGGUGCAGGGCUCUGCCCCUCUCUGGCUUUGUCAGCCUGAGGUACAGAGGCUGGUGUCAUCUGAGCCUGCACUGACUGGGGUGUGAGCAGCUCUCCACUCACUCCUGCUGUGAUGUCCCCGGCCCCAGACUCUGCUCCUUCCUCCCCUGUCCCCUGCCUGGAGUAGGAGGAGGCCCUGGGAGUCCAGCGUGCUCUGAGGGCCUUUCUGUCCUGGGCCGGGAGGUGGCACUGAGGUCCUCACCGUGGCACGGGUGAAGUGUGGGAAGCCAACAAGUGUGAAGCACAUCACACUUGAACAGUGGUCCUGCAAAUCAUUGGCUUCUGUGAGCUGGGAGGGCCAUGGCCAACCCUCCUGGGCCCCCGAUUUUAUCAGUCAACAGAACUGGGGCUUGAGAGAUGCAGAUGCACAUCUGUGGGCACUGCUGUCCUCCCCAGAGGGCCUGGCUCUGCAGACCCCUGAGAGAUGGUGUGUGGGGUUAUGGUUUAUAUCUGUGGAAGGCCAUUGGAUUAGGGGCUUAUAGCAGAUUGCUCUUAGGAGGCGGCUCCUGAUGGGAAGGGGCGGGUCACUGUGGGUGUGACCGGAAGUUCACAUCUCCCUUCCCGUUUCUUCCCUGACGCGCUACUUCCUGUUCACCAUGCCUCGAGCCGCUCUCCUCCCCGAGGCUCCUCUGCCCUGCCGUUCUGCCUCAGAGCCUGCCGACCACCAACCGACAGACGAGCAGUAUAAACCUCUCCUCCGGUUGAGUCGGUGUCGAGCACGGUGUCCCAGCGAGGAGAAGGUGAUCUGCUCCACGUUCACGGAGGGCCCUCGAUUCUGAGUGUUGGGAUCACAUCACAUGUGGCCUAGGGACACAGGGCCAGGACCCUCGCAGGACCUGCUAACCUGACCUCACUGAUGUGUUUUAUGGGGUGCCUACUCUGAGCCCAUGCACGCGCCAGUCCCCCGUGGGCUGCUGACAGCCAGUGUGAGACCUCUUAAUUGGCUUCAAGGGUAGUUGCAGUCUUCCUGAGCCAGUUAACGAUCUCGGGUAAUGAGCUCUCUCCUCUCAGUAUUUGUUUAGUGCUUUAUUCAUGGGCAUGAAAUGGUGGUGGCGUUAAUUUCAGGGGAACUUUAAUGAUUUUAUGUGUUUGGAGAAGUUCCCAGCUCCUGACCUUUAGGUGCUAGGUCUGUUUGGGGCCAUGUGAAAUGUUUGGCGUCACUUGCAAGAAAGAAAAAAGAAGUGCUGUUUUCCUUAGAAAUAGAAUAGGCAUUUCACAGCCCAACAUUGUUCUGCCAGGAAAUGUUCACCAAAGUCCUGAAGGCAGACCUGUGGAAAUUUCCAGUACUUCUCCUAGAGGAAGGAUUUGGGUUGUCACAACCAGAACAAUCAUCUUACCCCUCCAUUUCCUGAUCUCUUCACCAGUCUACCAACCAACCAUCAUCCAGUCAUCCACCCACCUGUCCAUCCAUUUACCCACCCAUCCACCCACCUAUCCAUCCAUCCCUCCACCUACCCAUGUAUCCAUCCACCCAUCCAUUUAUCCACCCAUGCACACAUCCAUGCACUUAUCCAUCUGCCCCCUACAGUGUACCCAUCACCCAUCGGUUCAUCCACCCACCCAUGGCACUCACAUCCACUCACCGCUCCUCUGUCCACCACCUUGGUUGCCUGCAGCACUGAGGCAAACCUCACUCCACGCCCAGCUUCUUCUCUUACGUGUUGUACACCUGUCUGGUUUCUGCCUGGCCGUGUCAGCAGAGGGGCUCUGAGGCACACUGUGGGUGUGAAGGGUGCAGGAGCCCGGAGAGCCCAGAACCCUGGACCUUCCCUUUGCCACUUGAGUCCCUGUGACUUCUUUUCAGAUCCUUGGGGUCGCGAAGGCCCCGGGUCCCAAGGCUUGCUUGGGAGGAAGCCAGAGACUGUAACUCUCUACCUUGGAAACAGUGGAAAGAUCGAAAGUGAAAAGAUUAUCACUUCAUCUUUUGUUUCCCUAUUAAAACAGUUACAUUUCCUGUCACUCUUCUCAAACCCUCCAGAUACACUGCACAGGGACUUUCCAAGCUUUCCUCCUGUUUCUGUCCUCCCAGUGGGAGAGAAGCUGAUUAUGACCAUGUCAGGUACACAGAGCCCCUGACUGGGCGACCCCACAUUCUUCCUUUUCAAAUAAAGUUUAAGACUAUCCAGAACGACUUGCCAGGCUGACCUCUGGCUUUUGAUCCUCUGCUGAGUUUUGUGCAGCCUGUUGGCGCAGCCUGCUGAUGUGCUGGGAUGAAUGCCCUCGCUGGGGGAGGUGUUAACACCCUAGGUGUGUGUUGGCUCCUUGUCCUGCAGCCAGUGAGAAACCUCACGGCCUGUUGCCUGUCCUGGGUCCUAAGUGAUGGUGGCCACGUGAAGAUGCACCUGAGGGACACAGAGUUUCCUGUCUGUGCUUCACCCUGGGGUGCUGUCCUUAGGAGCUGAUCUCAGAAACUCACGGCAGCCAGCCCCCAAGAUGGUGUGGGGGCACCCUGAAUUCAGGCCCUUGUGCAGCCCUUCCUCUUCAUUCCAGGUUGGUCAGUGCAACCAGAGAGGGUCUGCAGAAGUGAUGCAGUCAUCAGAGGCACUGUGGCUUUCAUCUUGUUCUCUCUCUCUCUCUCUUCUCUCCCUUUACUUUUGCGUCCAAUCCUUUGUACGAGGAAGCCAGGUGCUCUGAGAGCAGCAGCUAUGGAGAGGCCCAGGGUAAGGAACUGCAGCCCCUACAGCCUUCUGGGGAGCCCUCAGGGGACCAAGUCACAGCCAUCAGAUGUCCACUCGCCUGACCUUCAUCCGUCCUUACGUGUGGCAGCUGAGAGUCGUGCAGUGACCACCCUAAGGUCACUCAGCCAGGCUGAGUUAGUGUAGGGUUGGUCCUGCGAGCCUGUCUCACAGGGUCCGCCUCGCAAGGGCUCACUAGGGAUGGAGCAGACCUGAGAGCUCGAGGACCUGCACCCCUGCACACCGGUGCUCACAUCUCAGAGAAGGAGAAGCAGAUGGAUUUUUCCAGAUAAUGUGCUCAUGGUGAAAAAAAUCUCUGAGCACUGGAGGUGAGGCUCUACCACUGUGCAGCACUUGCCUAGCAUGCACAGAGCCCUAGGUUCGAUCCCCAGCACUGGAAAAGGCAUUCAAAUGAAAUUAUGUUGAGUCCUGCAUUGAAGAGAUGCUUGGGGCAACCCACUGGGCCCCCGCCCCGUCUUUCAGGAACUAUCCCUAUUCCCCAUUCUUUUUCCCCAUUCCUAUUUCCCAAUAAAAUUUCCUAUUCUUUAAAAAAAAAAAAAGAGAUGCCUGGUUUGGGAAGAAGAGAAUUCCAUGAAGGGAAGCCUUUCCCCCAUUCCUGGGGAGAGCCGUUUAGUUACCUACAGGGGUAUGGGAUGUGUCUAGGUGUCCCCCAAAGCCUCAUGGGCUCGUAGGUGGGCUUUUUUGGAGCAGGCUGGAUUAGGGUGUGUGAUACUGGGAUUAAGAGUGUGUGAAGCUAAAUUAGUCAGCGGAUUGGUUUAGCAUAGUUCUGGGUGUGAAUAAUGGGAAGGCCCACCCUGGGUGUGGGUGGCACCACCCAAAAAGCUUAUAGCCUGAAUGGGAUAAAAGGAAAAGGGAGGCUUGCUGUUCUGCUAUUGCCGCUGCCGCCUUCUGCCUGCACUGCUGCAGACUGUUUCUCCUCUGCCACGCCACCCUGCCUUGGAGCCAGCCAACUAUGGACUGGAACCUCUCUAAACCAUGAGCUGAAAUACACCUUUCCUCCUUGAAUUUCGGGUGUUGGGUAUUUUGUCUCAGCAAUGAGAAAAGUAACUAAGACAUAAAGCUUGGCAGAAGUUGACAAAAUCCAUUAAAAUUAUCUCAUGUAAGUUGCUAUACAUAUGUCACAGAGCUAAAAUAAACGCAUCUCUGGUGAGUUGUUUAAGUUUUGGUCAAUUCUGCAAGUUUGUCACCCAACAAAAGGAGCCUUUGGGAGACCUGACUUGACUCAGUCAGGGCUGCGGCUGGUCCCCGCUGCGGGUGCCUAGGGCCCAGUGCUGUUGGGAACUUCAGAGGAUGAGUUCAGGUGCACCUAGGAAGUUGUCCUCUGGGGACAGAAGUGGCAAUGCUCGCUGCCUGCGUCCACAGGCCUCCCAUGAGGCCACUGCACAGAAGCUGGCAGAAAGCAGGACACUCAGUGCAGCCUGGUGCAGAAGUUGUG